UACGUAGGGUGCGAGCGUUGCCCGGAUUUAUUGGGCGUAAAGGGCGCGUAGGCGGUCAGCACAAGUCAGUUGUGAAAUCUCCGGGCUUAACUCGGAAAGGUCAACUGAUACUGUGCGACUAGAGUGCGGAAGGGGCAACUGGAAUUCUCGGUGUAGCGGUGAAAUGCGUAGAUAUCGAGAGGAACACCUGCGGCGAAGGCGGGUUGCUGGGCCGACACUGACGCUGAUGCGCGAAAGCCAGGGGAGCGAACAGG
rnacentral:rRNA from 1 species